UUUAAACCAUUACAUGUGAUUCAAUAUAAGAAAAUACAAGAAGUGACAUUUUUAACCAAUUGUUGACUUUGGUCAACAUUUGACGUUUUGGUCAACUUUGACCAAAGUCAACCCAAAAUCCAUAAACCCAAAAUUCCAUCAUGAUCACCAAUACAUUGUCCGUUUACAAAGAAAAUACAAAGAAAUUGGAAUUUUUGACCUUUUAUUGAAUUUGGUCAACAAUUGACUUUUAGUCAACCUUGACCAAAGUCAACUUCCCCAUUUUUUUAAUUUUUUUUUUGUCAUCCAAAACCUAAUCUAGCCUUUGGCCUUGAUUCUUUAUCCAAUUUCCAUGUUUGGUUGUGUGCUCCCUUGUUUGCUUCAUUUCCAAGUAAGUGUUUUCAUGAUUCAACCUUAUAUUUUGGCUUGUCAAAUCUUGGUUUUGAUUUGCCCCAAACCAAAUACUAGUGGCUCUAACACAACACAACAUAACACAGUGUGAUCCAUCCUUCAUCGCUUAACUCAAGGGAAACAGGGAAAGCUAUAAUGGAGAGCAUACAUGGGCCUUGUCAUAAACUUGCAGCAAAAAUAUAACCAGAUUAUCCCACAAAAAGGUUGGAACAACAACGUAAUUUCAAAUCAACACGAUGCCUGCAGCUAUCCACAUAAUCACAAUCCCCCGGCCUUUCAGAAGCAGCAGAAUUGCCACUGCCCAUUGAUUUUCCGAGGUUGAUGCUGAAGCUAGUAUAGAGUUGGAGCAGUGUAAUAAAAUGUUGUCGUCAAGCCAUGCCAGGAGAACGAUUUCAAUACAGGUUUUUUGAGGGUAGUGAUAACAACAGUGUUGUUGAUGCAUAUGAACCGAAGACCCAAUAUUGAGCAGAAUUGCAUUAAUAUCCAAUGCUGCAAGUACCGAAAGACCGUCUACUGUCACAAGCUGUCUUGUUCGUCGGUGGGGCACUAGCUGCAAUAUCUGCAUACACUCUACAAUACUGAGGAGUUAUACAGUGGAGAUUUUAACACCACCACCGCAUUUGAUGAAGCGUGUGAAAAGGUCAUAAAACAUUAGGAGAAAGUAGAAGUGUUACAUUGCUCCUUGCUUACCUAAUGCUCAGGAAGAAAUAUGCUUUAUCAAAAGCAUGACAAACAAUGAAACAAGUCCUCUGCCUCACCGUUUC
rnacentral:lncRNA from 1 species